CAUUUUGUAGCCCAUGACGCGAGCGAACCGGGCCAUAUGAUUGUCAGUCCAACCAAAUCUUCGUUAUUUUUCCACCCCACUGAGAGAGAGAGAGGUGUAAUUUAUAAAAAACAGGGAGUGGCUAUUAUCAUUCGCUGGCUUUUUAAAGGGGGCGAGGUUGGAGUAGGGUUUGGGGCUGGCCUUUCUCGCCGGCGCCCCCGUUUUCUCUUGGUUCGGCAGAUAAAUUUGCUCAAGUGUUUUUCUGAUUCAUGGAAGGCCAAAAGUGAUGAUGGGGGUUUCGCUGAUAGCACCUUCUUGUUCUCUGUGGAGGUGUUUCAUUAGUAACUUGCCAUACAUUACCAUCAUUUUUCCUUUGUCUCUAGUGAGAAAAGAGAAAUUCGAGACAAAAUUUUGCUGGAAGUCAUUGUUUGUUAUAUUUGUUGCUUCAUUUUCAUUUAGAAGUAUGUCCAGCAUUUUACUUAUUGUUUUUGAAAAAACACUUGUAUCCCUCUAUCUAUUUUGCCAUGUUCCCUGUAAACCAUGUCACCAGAUUCUCACGAUUACUGAAUUUCAGUAAUGAUUUUGUGUUGCUUUAGAUGUUGGAAACCAAUUGAGUAUUUCUUUUAUUUGUUAGAUAUUUUAUUUUCUCUGGUUAUACCUUUUCUAUUUCCACUGCUAUGCUUUGUUCCAAAUGUUAUUUCCUUGCAGAAGCUAUGAACAUCAGCAUGGAUUUUUAGAUAGCAAUGCUAUAUUCUUGCAUUUUCCUUGAUCUGCCCGUAUGAACAACAAUCUAGAUUUUUAAUCUAUGUGGCAAUACUAUAUUCUAGCAUAUUGACUCUAUUGGUAUUAUUUUGGGACAUACUCUAGACAUCCAUAAUAAUGGUCUUAGGUUUGCAGGCAUCUUAUAUGUUGCUGAUCAUAUUCAAAGGUGUGUAUAGUAUAUACCUUCAUUUUAGGUCUUCUAUCAUUAAUUUGGUUAUUUUAGGUGCGUUUAAUAUAACCAAAUUUAUCUCUCACUUUAAUAAGUAGGGAUCAUCAAGAAGUGUUUAUGUCCAUGGUUGUAUCAUGGCAGAUGUUGAAACUAAGUCAACCUGCCCAAUGCUUGUGAUUUGUGCAUUUUUUUGCUAGAGAACAUCUCAUGAAUAUGAGGAUAUAAUUGAAAUUGCCAACAAGUGGGGGAUGUAAUGGCAUUCCUGGCCUAAACAAGGCAAGGCCUGCCACUUCAUUAUGUACACACCACACUUGUGGCUGAUGGAAGGAAGAAGCCAUGCGCCAUUGUUUUAUCCGUGGACUUGAUUGCAAACUAGUCUUGGCUGGACUCAAACGUGGUAGCUGAAUGCAAAGAUAUAGAUAUGGUCCUGAAGUUGGUGCAUCAUCCUGCAGGUAUUUCUCAGGUGUUCGCCACUGAGAAUUUUGGACGGAGGUAAAAUGUUGUAUGGGUUUUGCUUACAUCAUUUGUUCGUUAAUGUCAUGGGAUCCGUAAAUUACUUGCGAACAUCCCCUAUUGAAAAGAUUUUGUUUUUGUGUCCGUUCUAAUGGGAGUUGGAACGAAGCAGAAGGUAUGAUAUCUCCGUGUCAGGCAAUAUUUUGUUCUUUAUGUGGUUUGGGCUGAUAACUUUGCUUGGCUGUGGACUUCA